CUGUGAAGGUCGUCUCUCUCGGGACAUAGUCUCUGUUCCUCUAUCAAGGAUGUCUCUCUCGGGACAUCCUCUCUGUUCCUCUGUCAAGUCUGUCUCUCUCAGGACAUCCUCUCUGUUCCUCUGUCAAGGCUGUCUCUCUCAGGACAUCCUCUCUGUUCCUCUGUCAAGGACAUCCUCUCUGUUCCUCUGUCAAGGCCAUCUCUCAGGACAUCCUCUCUGUUCCUCUGUCAAGGAUGUCUCUCUCGGGACAUCCUCUCUGUUCCUCUGUCAAGGAUGUCUCUCUCGGGACAUCCUCUCUGUUCCUCUGUCAAGGCUGUCUCUCUCAGGACAUCCUCUCUGUUCCUCUGUCAAGGCCGUCUCUCAAGACAUCCUCUCUGUUCCUCUGUCAAGGACAUCCUCUCUGUUCCUCUGUCAAGGACAUCCUCUCUGUUCCUCUGUCAAGGCCGUCUC
ensembl:lncRNA